rnacentral:rRNA from 1 species
CCUACGGGUGGCUGCAGUGGGGAAUAUUGCACAAUGGGCGCAAGCCUGAUGCAGCGACGCCGCGUGAGGGAUGACGGCCUUCGGGUUGUAAACCUCUUUCAGCACGGAAGAAGCGAAAGUGACGGUACGUGCAGAAGAAGCGCCGGCUAACUACGUGCCAGCAGCCGCGGUAAUACGUAGGGCGCAAGCGUUGUCCGGAAUUAUUGGGCGUAAAGAGCUCGUAGGCGGUUUGUCGCGUCUGCUGUGAAAGCCCGGGGCUUAACCCCGGGUGUGCAGUGGGUACGGGCAGACUUGAGUGCAGUAGGGGAGACUGGAACUCCUGGUGUAGCGGUGAAAUGCGCAGAUAUCAGGAAGAACACCGAUGGCGAAGGCAGGUCUCUGGGCUGUUACUGACGCUGAGGAGCGAAAGCAUGGGGAGCGAACAGGAUUAGAUACCCCAGUAGUC